UUCGGAUCGUAAAACUCUGUUAUCAGGGAAGAACAAAUGUGUAAGUWACUGUGCACAUCUUGACGGUACCUGAUCAGAAASCCACGGCUAACUWCGUGCCAGCAGCCGCGGUAAUACGUAGGUGGCAAGCGUUAUCCGGAAUUAUUGGGCGUAAAGCGCGCGUAGGCGGUUUUYUAAGUCYGAUGUGAAAGCCCACGGCUCAACCGUGGAGGGUCAUUGGAAACUGGAAAACUUGAGUGCAGAAGAGGAAAGUSGAAUUCCAUGUGUASCGGUGAAAUGCGCAKAGAUAUGGAGGAACACCAGWGGCGAAGGCGAC
rnacentral:rRNA from 1 species